CAUGUGAAAAAGUUCUUUUUUGCUGAACAAUCCAGGCAGGACGAAGAAGAAAAGGAACGAGAAUCCAUUGCACGAAACAAUCAAGAAGUGAAGAAAGAAAAGACGGGAUACAUCGGACCUCGGCCAGCCGUAUCACCGUAACUUCAGUGAGUCAGUCAGCAUGACCAGCAAUCGCGGACAGCAGCGGGAGACGAUGACCUCAGCACCAUGGGCUAUAAAAUCUACAGACGACUUCAGACUCCUCAGAGGGCACGCUGGUGAUUGCGCCGGCAAGAUGCUUAAAUUACAAUGGUCUUCACUACAGAUACUGCUGUGGCAGUCUUUCUACACCAGCAAAGUCGACUGCGGGAAUGCAAGACCAGUAGCUGCGGCGUCAUGUGCUGUCAACCUGCAGUACGUCCCUGAUAAUCAAACGCAAUCCUGGCACCUGCAAAGUGGGUUUCCCGUCAUUGACGACAACAGAACAAGAAAGUAUGCGCCGGAAAACCAAGGAUCAGCUACUGCGACAGAGGCGUGGCUGCUCUCCAAACUGCCCCUGGAAACGCUGCGGCUUUAGUAGGCUCGGCGGCACAAUCGAAGCAGGGAUGUCAUAUUGCUUCCUGUUCUACGUACAGGCCCAAGUAUGCACGGCGCUGAAGGGAUAAUCCUUUCAGGCCACAGAAACAAGGGUACCACAAGAGCCGGCCAAGGGAAGGGAAUGGGACCUCUUGGUGUCAAAGUAUUGCCUCCUGCAUGGCCAUGCCCCAAACGGUGCAUUUUUUGCCGAGGCACCCCGGCUACUCUUGUGUGGAAAGUGCUGUAUCCUCUAGACAGCGUUCUGCCCGUCACACACUUUGUGAUUUCAAGAAUCACCACUCCAGUGCAGAGCGCCAGUGGCCAUCAUCGUCAGGAGAUCUGGUCAACACGUCAUCAACACGUGACCACAUCACAGGACUACAAAACAGAUUGGCACAAGCAUCGCCUCGGGAUUUGCAGCCAAGUGUGCCAGAGCACCAACCGUAUUAAUAAUCUCUCGCAGUCGGCACAGGUUGUGGGAGCCGAGGG